CAGUCGCCACGGUAAUACGAAGGGUGCAAGCGUUACUCGGAAUUACUGGGCGUAAAGCGUGCGUAGGUGGUGGUUUAAGUCCGUUGUGAAAGCCCUGGGCUCAACCUGGGAAUUGCAGUGGAUACUGGGUCACUAGAGUGUGGUAGAGGAUAGUGGAAUUUCCGGUGUAGCAGUGAAAUGCGUAGAGAUCGGAAGGAACAUCUGUGGCGAAGGCGACUAUCUGGGCCAACACUGACACUGCGGCACGAAAGCGUGGGGAGCAAACAGGAUUAGAUACCCCCGUAGUCCCUGUCUCUUAUAC
rnacentral:rRNA from 1 species